rnacentral:snRNA from 1 species
AUCGCUUCUCAGCCUAACGGCUAAGAUCAAAGUGUAGUAUCAUCCCGGUAUUGAAGGCGUUUUUUCGUGUUUUUCCACGUUUUUGCUGAAGAAAAAAGUGAUCAAUAUUCCAUACAUCAGAAUUUGAGAUUAUCGAUCGCAGAAAAU